CGUUCGUUUACAAACAGCUUUUGCCGAUAGUGUUUUACGGUCUUUGAAUGGGCUUUCGGUAGAAACCUAAAACCGAUAAACAGAGUGAGAUUAUUUCUUUUUGCAUUCCAAUGUUGACCAGAAAGACGAUAGCUUAUUCCUAUCUACUAGCUUACUGAAUGGUUCAAAAUGUACCGUACUACGGUAGCCAUAUUAAUUGGUUCGUCAAAAUAAAUCCU